GCCGGUAUGGCCAAGUGGUAAGGCGUCGCACUUGUACCUCAGCAAACCGGGCAAUGCGAAGAUCGCUGGUUCAAUUCCGGCUGCUGGCA
rfam:Cochliobolus heterostrophus C5 unplaced genomic scaffold COCHEscaffold_14, whole genome shotgun sequence.